UACGAAGGCCACAAGCGUUAUCCGGAUUUAUUGGGCGUAAAGCGCGCGCAGGAGGUUCGAUAAGUCUCUGGUUAAAUUUCGGGGCUCAACUCCGAAGCCGCCAGGGAAACUGCCGGACUGGAGGGCGUUAGAGGCAGAUGGAACACACGGUGUAGGGGUGAAAUCCGUUGAUAUCGUGUGGAACACCAAAGGCGAAGGCAUUCUGCUGGGACGUUCCUGACUCUGAGGCGCGAAAGCGUGGGGAG
rnacentral:rRNA from 1 species